rnacentral:rRNA from 1 species
GAUGAACGCUGACAGAAUGCUUAACACAUGCAAGUCGAUCGGGAAGUGGUGCUUGCCCCACGGCAACCAUGGCGGACGGGCGAGUAACGCGUAAGGGACUCACCUGCAGGACUGGGAUAACAGGGGGAAACGCCUGACAAGACCGGAUAAUGCCUUGGAGCUGCAGGGCUUUACGAUGGAAGGAGACGCCUGCGGAGAGCCUUGCGUCCUAUUAGCUAGUUGGUGAGGUAAGGGCUCACCAAGGCGAAGAUAGAUAGCCGGCCUGAGAGGAGGGACGGCCACGAGGGGACUGGGAGGCGGCCCUUACGACUACGGGAGGCAGCAGUGAAGAAUAUUGGACAAUGGGGGCAACCCUGAUCCAGCAAUUCUGUGUGCACGAAGAAGGUUUUCGGAGUGUAAAGUGCUUUCAGCAUGGAAGAAGUAAGUGACGGUACCUGCAGAAGAAGCGACGGCUAACUACGUG